AUACGGAGGAUGCGAGCGUUAUCCGGAUUUAUUGGGUUUAAAGGGUGCGCAGGCGGGCGAUUAAGUCAGCGGUGAAAGGCUCGGGCUCAACCGGAGCAGUGCCGUUGAUACUGGUUGUCUUGAAUGCUGUCAAGGCCGGCGGAAUGUGGCGUGUAGCGGUGAAAUGCAGAGAUAUGCCGCAGAACACCGAUAGCGAAGGCCGCUGGCCGGGCCUGCAUUGACGCUGAGGCACGAAAGCGUGGGGAUCGAACAGGAGUAGAUACCCUGGUAGUCCACGCUGUAAACGAUGGACACUCGUUGUCGGCGACAGACAGUCGGCGGCCAAGCGAAAGUGAUAAGUGUCCCACCUGGGGAGUACGGUCGCAAGGCUGAAACUCAAAUGAAUUGACGGGG
rnacentral:rRNA from 1 species